rnacentral:rRNA from 1 species
GGCUCCAUAGGCGUAUAUUAAAGUUGUUGCAGUUAAAAGCUCGUAGUUGAACCUUGGGUCUGGCUGGCCGGUCCGCCUCACCGCGCGUACUGGUCCGGCUGGACCUUUCCUUCUGGGGAAUCCCAUGGCCUUCACUGGCCGUGGGUGGAACCAGGACUUUUACUGUGAAAAAAUUAAAGUGUUCAAAGCAGGCCUUUGCUCAAACACAUCAGCAGGGAACAAUAGAAGGGGACGUGCGGUUCUUUUUUGUUGGUUUCUAGGACCGCCCUAGUGAUAAACAGGGAUAGUCGGGGGCGUCAGUAUUCACCUGUCAGAGGUGAAAUUCUGGGAUUUGCUGAAGACUAACUACAGCGAAAGCAUUCACCCAGGAUGUUUUCAUUAAUCAUGGAACGAAAGUUAGGGGAUCUAAGACGAUGAAAUUCCGUCUUACUCUUAACCAUAAACCAUACCUACCAGGG